rnacentral:rRNA from 1 species
GUACACUCCUGCGGGAGGCAGCAGUGGGGAAUAUUGGACAAUGGGCGCAAGCCUGAUCCAGCCAUGCCGCGUGAGUGAUGAAGGCCCUAGGGUUGUAAAGCUCUUUCACCGGAGAAGAUAAUGACGGUAUCCGGAGAAGAAGCCCCGGCUAACUUCGUGCCAGCAGCCGCGGUAAUACGCAGGGGGCUAGCGUUGUUCGGAAUUACUGGGCGUAAAGCGCACGUAGGCGGAUCGAUCAGUCAGGGGUGAAAUCCCAGGGCUCAACCCUGGAACUGCCUUUGAUACUGUCGAUCUGGAGUAUGGAAGAGGUGAGUGGAAUUCCGAGUGUAGAGGUGAAAUUCGUAGAUAUUCGGAGGAACACCAGUGGCGAAGGCGGCUCACUGGUCCAUUACUGACGCUGAGGUGCGAAAGCGUGGGGAGCAAACAGGAUUAGAUACCCGGGUAGUCCC